GAUGUAGAACGUAGCGAAAUGCGAUAAGUAAUGUGAAUUGCAGAAUUCAGUGAAUCAUCGAAUCUUUGAACGCACAUUGCGCCCGCCAGCACUCUGGCGGGCAUGCCUGUUCGAGCGUCAUUUCAACCAUCAAGCCCCCAGGGGCUUGUGCUGGGGCCCUGCGGCUGCCCGCAGGCCCUGAAAACCAGUGGCGGGCUCGCUAGUCACACCGAGCGCAGUAGCACAUCUCGCUCAGGGCGUGCGGCGGGCUCCUGCCGUGAAACCCCCCACUGUAACCCCAAAGGUUGACCUCGGAUCAGGUAGGAAUACCCGCUGAACUUAAGCAUAUCAAUAAGCGGAGGA
rnacentral:misc_RNA from 1 species